UGAAAAACAAAUGUGAACUCUUAUUUUUUUCUUCCUUUUUCUUUUUCUUUUUUCUAAGUCCUAACUUUCUCACCUUUGGUUAUUUUGUUCACUUAUUCAUCAUUUUGGCUUGCCUUUUGUUCAUAAUUCCACCUAUUUAUCCAAAAUUUCUCACAAAUAUUAUGUAAUGACAAAGUGUCAUCACAACCCGAAACUCACUUUAUUGCUUGUCCUCAAGUUACAUGUUUGCA
rnacentral:lncRNA from 1 species